rnacentral:rRNA from 1 species
UAUAAGCAAUUAUACAGCGAAACUGCGAAUGGCUCAUUAUAUAAGUUAUCGUUUAUUUGAUAGUACCUUACUACUUGGAUAACCGUGGUAAUUCUAGAGCUAAUACAUGCUAAAAAUCCCGACUUCGGAAGGGAUGUAUUUAUUAGAUUAAAAACCAAUGCCCUCUGGGCUCUCUGGUGAUUCAUGAUAACUUCUCGAAUCGCAUGGCCUUGCGCCGGCGAUGGUUCAUUCAAAUUUCUUCCCUAUCAACUUUCGAUGUUUGGGUAUUGGCCAAACAUGGUCGCAACGGGUAACGGAGGGUUAGGGCUCGACCCCGGAGAAGGAGCCUGAGAAACGGCUACUACAUCCAAGGAAGGCAGCAGGCGCGCAAAUUACCCAAUCCCGACACGGGGAGGUAGUGACAAUAAAUACUGAUACAGGGCUCUUUCGGGUCUUGUAAUUGGAAUGAGUACAAUUUAAAUCCCUUAACGAGGAACAAUUGGAGGGCAAGUCUGGCCC